UGUAGGCGGUCGGCCAAGUCUGAUGUGAAAGCCCGAGGCUCAGCCUCGGAAGUGCGUCGGAGACUAGUCGGCUGGAGCGCGAUAGAGGAGGGUGGAAUUCCUGGUGUAGCGGUGAAAUGCGUAGAUAUCGUAAGGAAGACCAGUGGCGAAGGCGGGUCUCUGGACAGUUCCUGACGCUGAGGCACGAAGGUCAGGGGACAAAC
rnacentral:rRNA from 1 species